AACGAACGCUGGCGGCAGGCCUAACACAUGCAAGUCGAGCGCGCCCUUCGGGGUGAGCGGCGGACGGGUGAGUAACGCGUGGGAACGUGCCCUUUUCUACGGAAUAGCCUCGGGAAACUGAGAGUAAUACCGUAUACGCCCUUUGGGGGAAAGAUUUAUCGGAAAAGGAUCGGCCCGCGUUGGAUUAGGUAGUUUGUGGGGUAAUGGCCUACCAAGCCGACGAUCCAUAGCUGGUUUGAGAGGAUGAUCAGCCACACUGGGACUGAGACACGGCCCAGACUCCUACGGGAGGCAGCAGUGGGGAAUCUUAGACAAUGGGGGCAACCCUGAUCUAGCCAUGCCGCGUGAGUGAUGAAGGCCUUAGGGUUGUAAAGCUCUUUCAGCUGGGAAGAUAAUGACGGUACCAGCAGAAGAAGCCCCGGCUAACUCCGUG
rnacentral:rRNA from 1 species